GCUCCCUUCAUUCUCUUUCUCUCUCUCAAAUUCCUCCCUCUCUCAAGUUCUUUCCUCUCAUCUCCAUGGAAACAUGUUAUUUUCAAGAUCUACCAACGAUCUCAACGUUUCUUUUGUUUAAUCUCUCUUCAGCACGCACGUGUAAUGGUGGUUGUCCGGGCUCGAAAGUGCUUAUGGUCAGUGCUAGCCUGCUAGGGGGUUUCGGUUGGGAGCUUCUCAAAACUCUAGCUCUUUCAGGUUUUUCGGAUAUUCAUAUUUGUCAAAACUGGGUAAAGAUGUUGAUGACUUGUUGAUGGAAAAGAACCCCAGGCCUGAGGUUUACACAGAAGAACAACAAUUAUCUGUAAUCAUUGGCUCAAAAGUGCUUAUGGUCGGUGCUGGUGGUUUCGGUUGAGAGCUUCUCAAAACUCUAGCUCUUUCAGGUUUUCAGGAUAUUCAUAUUUUAAUUCAACUUUGUGCUAAUGCGAGUUUUAGUUAUUGUUGCUAUUAUUGUUAUUAUUAUAUUGUUGUUUUGAGUAUAAUUAGUAGUUUGUGGAUUCUCUAUGGUAGGUUUUUGACUUUAAGGGUUUAGUUUGUUUGCUAUAUUUUGGUGUAGUUGGUGUUACUGUUACUGGCUGUUUAUGACACAAUUUAGUUAGCAGAUUUGUUUUUUAUAUGGUUAAUGGAUAAUAAUUGUAUUGGUUUUCAACUUUUUGUUAUUUUUAUUUAAUUUAUGAUGAUUAAUUGUAUAAUGUUUGUUCAGAUGGGUUUUUUCUUUGGUUUUUCUGUUUGUGUUUAGCUGUUAAUGGCAGUAGACAUGAUUGGAUUUGGAUGAAUUAUGUACUAAUUAGCUUGUGAUAUGUGAGUAGGAUUAUGUUUUUAAUAUUUUUUAGUCUUGAUUGUUGGAGUAUGUAAUAGAGAAAGCUGUGGAAUGUGUAGUUAGAGCAACAUUCAUGGAUUGAUUGUUUGAUGCUUUUCUUUAAAAACUACACUUAUUUGAACUAUAAUUUUGAUUUCCUUUGCAUAUUUGACUUUAAGUUAUAGUGAUUCUGUGUUGUUUGUUUUGAUUUGAUUUGUCGAUUCCAACACUCAUCCCCAAAUACCAUUAUCCCGCUUAUUCUUUUCAUUUGCGGAGGCUAGGAAGAACCAGAAAGAUAAUGGAAGGAGAAACUCUAGAGAAGGUAGAGGUGGCAAAGGGAACUAGGGUUUCGGCAAAGGGGUUUGGUUAAACAUGUUAAACUCUGAAAUGAAAAGGAUGUGUGACAGGUCUGAGUUGAACAAAAACACUUAUCGAGUUUCAAAAUUCAAAUGAUCAUGUUCCUUCCUUCCUUCUUCACUUCUCUCUAUAUCUCUGCGCUCCAUCUCGCUCUCUCUCUCUCUCUCUCUCUCUCUCUCUUUUUGGGGCUCGAUUUGACGACGCUGACUUAUCACAGAAGUCCUGAACCCAGAUGUAUCAUCACAGAAUCUUGCGGUAGAAGGAGAUGUGAACUGUUGUUGCUUGACAUGGAUAUGGAGACUACUUGAUUGACCUGGUGUAAUUCACAACAGACGGUUAAUACACACCCGCAAGACGUAGGCCCACCCCAUUUUUAUCCCAAAGACUAUGUUUUCUUAAUGGGGCCCAUGCCUAGGUAGAAAUGGGACACAACUUUCCCUAUGAAAAUUUCCGACCCCCUGCCACUUGACAGGAGUUGCACCCUCCACACCAAUCGACCGCUUGUUGUGACAGAGUGACCCGCUGGAGUACAUGCACCGUAAUAGAAAACUCGGGUUCCCUCAGGCUUGAACCGGAGUCCUUACCAUCCUUGGGUUGAGAAUAACCCCAAUGCCUCACCUUUUGAUGGAGGUGGGGAUUGAACCUGAGACCACUCAUAUGGCCCAAGUCCCUUCCACCACUCCACCAAAGGAUCACUGGCCUUUAUAUCUCUAAUUAAGUUAGACUUUUCACUCAUCCUCAACUCUUGUAUAAUAAUAGACUAUGUGUCUCAUUUGAGAAAAAGAACAUCUAGAAAAAUACAAGAGAAGAUACAAGAAAAUUAUAUGAAUAUAUGGAGAGUUAUUGAAAAGAAAAGAUACUUGAAGACCCAUGUGUUGGUACUUAGAGAGAUAUGUUUUCUCUAUUCAAUUUCACCACCGUCACAUCUUUAUUUGUUUCAUAAGUUCAAAUACUACAAUUAUCCAGUGUAACCUCGGGCGUGUAGCCAUCUUAGACAGUACAGACUGCUUCGGUUGUUGUAUCCUGGGAGACAGACGCGUCAUUUUUGAUAGAGGUGUGAAAUCUGUUUUAAGGGAAAUGUGUUAAACACAUGCCUCAACCAAAAUCGUCAACGUUUUAGUGUGCUCUUUGUUGCAGUCAAGGAGCAUUUUUCAAGACUUAAGAUGAUGAACACUCGAGUCUAAGAUGCUAUCAAGUGCGCGUGAAGGACCUACCAGAGAUGUGGCUUGAAUCAAGAUUGGUAUAUAUAAUUAUAUUUUAUAUACCUUUUAUUUAGUUACUGCAAUCGUUAUUGUACUGUGAUAUUUCCUACGAAUAACGAGAGUCUCAUUAAUAUAUAUUUUGUAAUUAUAUUUUAUAAAAGGUGAAUCUAAUUCCUACAA